AACCUAUUAGCUCAGAUGGGAGAGCAUUGUACAAAUGCACAAAGAUGUGGGUUCGAAUCCCAUGUGGGUUU
rnacentral:tRNA from 1 species